rnacentral:snRNA from 1 species
AAUUUAACCUGGCAGGGGAAAUACCAUGAUCACCGAAGUGGUUUUCCUACUGGUUGGUAUUACCUUGACCAAGUUAGCCUCCCGCAUUCACUUCAAGUGGGAAGAUCUCACCUAUAUGCCAACUUUAUGGAAAUGGGAGACACCUCCCUAGUGUGCUCCUG